rnacentral:lncRNA from 1 species
CAUUUUGAUAUUCUGCACAAUUUAGAAAUUCGUUCAAAUAUAGAUAAGUUUUUUGUAUACGACUAUUUUAUUAACUAGUGGUUUCGGCCCAUAAUUUUUAGAUAAGGAUAUUGUACAAUAGAAGGUUUUUAGUUUUUCUAUUAAAUUCAUUUCUUAGUCUUUAAAAGGGGGGUUGAAUUAUUUUUUAGGGGUGAAGAAUUUUCUAAAUGCCAAAACCCUAAAUUUAUUUUCCUCCUUAGCCGCCAACACCCAAAUCCCUCACUCUAUUUUCCUCUUCCCCAAAGCCAACUGAAGCAGCCAUCAAACAACCUCUUCUCCCUCACCACAAACCACCAUUGCUCCACCCACCAAGCUCCAAACACAACCAACAACCACCGUCUGAAAACAACCCAACAACACCCCAUCUCAAGAAAAACAGACCCAAAACAGCCACCCAAUACCCCAUUCUUUUAUCCCUUUAAUCGCUGCCACCAGUGAAUCCGACGAGGAGUUUCAAACUCCGAUGAAUCGGAGCAAAAUAAUCACAGACCAUCAAGAACCAGCCCUCCCCCUUUUUAUUUUAUUAUUUUGUUCAUUUUGCAGCUAUUUUAGCGAGCUACAAGCUUCAAAACCGAUGAGCUCGAAGCUCAGGCGAGUCAACAAGGCUCGAAAACAACAUCCAUAGAACUUAAACCAACAGAUCCGGUGAAGAACCAAGCCGCCACGAGCUCAGCCAAACAAACCCAUUCUCCGUUCUUUCUCCGAACACACCACCACUGUAAGACCACAUAUCCUUUAUUUGUAUUUUUGAGCUUAUUGCAUCACUGAAAGAACAAGCUCCAGGGAGCUUCAUUCUUGGAUUUCCAUCAUUGUUGCUCUGUUUCUCUCUAUUGAUUGUUGCUUGUUACGUUAUAGUUUGAGUUAAAUUUGUCAUGACUAUUACUUUAAUGACUACUCAUUUUUUUAUUCUUAUUCAAUCGUAGUUUAGAUUUGGCCAAGCGUUUGUGUUCUUUCGAUAUUAAUUGCUGCUUGAAAUGUUAUUCGGUAUUUCCUUUGAUUGAUUAUUUACGGCCCACUGUUAGUGUUAAUCUUGUUUUAUAGUUUACUACUAGUUAUGGAGUCUUAUUUUGUUAGAUAUUUGGGUCAUUUGAUUAAUUGAAUAUUUAAUUUGCUUAUAUGUUAAAGUUGAUUGUUUAGUGUAGUUGUUAAUCUAUUAUAUUAUUUGUAUGUUAUUUCAGUUUUUAUUAUUAUUAUUAUUAGUUUUAGAUAAUGCUUGAAAUUGUCCAGUAGUUUUAAUUUGUUAAAUACCAUUUGUAUGAUCUUUCCAAAGCUUAACUGUGCAUUACUCUCUCUUGUUGUUAAUUUAAUUAUUUAAUUAUUUAUUAUGCGCGUCAACUUUGUACACUAUUGCAUUUAGAUCAUCAUUUUUAUUAUUAUACUAUUAUUAUGCAUUGCUCUUCUUUUAUUGUUGAUUAUUUUAUUACUAUUUGAAUGUCGAUAUUUAGUGAUUUGUUCGAGUUUCCGAUAGUUUUCUUUAUUAUUGAUACUUGUGAGUAUUUUUCACUAUUUUAUAUCUUUUUAUUGUCGUAUUAUAUUUUAAGUUAAAAUUGGCCAAUGAAAAAAUCUCUCCGUCGGUUUUAGAGGCCUUUUCAUUUUAAAAGACGAAAUUUUAGUUUAGGUUUAUAUAUUUUAUUUGUUAAAAAUGGUCAAUGAAAAAAUCUCUCCGUCGGUUUUAGAGGCCUUUUCAUUUUAAAAGACGGAAUUUUAGUUUAAGUUUAUAUAUUUUAUUUGUUAAGAAUGGCCAAUGAAAAAAUCUCUCCGUCGGUUUUAGAGGCCUUUUCAUUUUAAAAGACGGAAUUUUAGUUUAAGUUUAUAUAUUUUAUUUGUUAAGAAUGGCCAAUGAAAAAAUCUCUCCGUCGGUUUUAGAGGCCUUUUCAUUUUAAAAGACGGAAUUUUAGUUUAAGUUUAUAUAUUUUAUUUGUUAAGAAUGGCCAAUGAAAAAAUCUCUCCGUCGGUUUUAGAGGCCUUUUCAUUUUAAAAGACGGAAUUUUAGUUUAAGUUUAUAUAUUUUAUUUGUUAAGAAUGGCCAAUGAAAAAAUCUCUCCGUCGGUUUUAGAGGCCUUUUCAUUUUAAAAGACGGAAUUUUAGUUUAAGUUUAUAUAUUUUAUUUGUUAAAAAUGGUCAAUGAAAAAAUCUCUCCGUCGGUUUUAGAGGCCUUUUCAUUUUAAAAGACGGAAUUUUAGUUUAAGUUUAUAUAUUUUAUUUGUUAAAAAUGGUCAAUGAAAAAAUCUCUCCGUCGGUUUUAGAGGCCUUUUCAUUUUAAAAGACGGAAUUUUAGUUUAAGUUUAUAUAUUUUAUUUGUUAAAAAUGGCCAAUGAAAAAACCUCUCCGUCGGUUUUAGAGGCCUUCCCAUUUUUAAAGACGGAAAUUUAGUUUAAGUU